rnacentral:rRNA from 1 species
CGUCUAUAUACGUAUAGCAUAUCAAUAAGCGGAGGAAAAGAAACUAACAAGGAUUCCCUUAGUAACGGCGAGUGAAGCGGGAAGAGCUCAAAUUUGAAAUCUUCAAGGUUCUACCUUGACGAAUUGUAGUUUAAAGAAGUGUUUUCUGUUAGAGGAGUAGGCAAAAGUUCCUUUGGAAUAGGGACAUCAUAGAGGGUGAGAAUCCCGUAUUUGGUCAUUCUUUCUAGCUGUGUGAUACACUUUCAAAGAGUCGGAUUGUUUGGGAAUGCAGUCCAAAAUGGGUGGUAAAUUUCAUCUAAAGCUAAAUAUUGGCGAGAGACCGAUAGCGAACAAGUACCGUGAGGGAAAGAUGAAAAGAACUUUGAAAAGAGAGUUAAACAGUACGUGAAAUUGUCAAAAGGGAAGCGUUUGACACCAGUGUUGUUUUUCCGAAAAUCAAUUAAGAACGGCUUGAUUUUGUGUUGUAUUGACCUUAUCAGCUUUCUUCACUCUUUUUCGAGUCUUUCUUAAUGCACUUUUCGGUUAACAAGUCAACAUCAAUUUCUUUUGUUGUAAAAGGGUAUUUGGAAGGUAGCUUUCUUUUCGGAGAAAGUGUUUAUAGCCUUAUACCUCUACAAUCGGAGAGAUUGAGGUCUGCAGCGUAGAUCCUUCGGGGCUAGAUACACUUGUGCUAAGUUAUAGCUUUUCAUAGACAACUUGUUGACUAUGUUUAGUCAUGUAGCUUACCCGCUUAUGCUAUUUUACCUACGCUUAGGAUGUUGAGUCAUCACACAUCUCU